GUGUGGUGACAGGGUGGUGUGACUGCUCCUGAGCAUUUUGAAAGCACUGUGGUGUUUGCAAUGUGAUAGCUCUGGAGCUAUUUCAAUGCACAGCCUGCUACAAUCGUGGUAUCACCUGGAGUCGAGGGGAGAGAGGCUGGAUGAGCCAGUGCAACAUGGGGUUUUACACAAUUACUGACUGUGAGCUCGAGCUGAAAUCAAAGAGCAGCCAGCUGUGGUGAACACUUCCAUGGGAGUACCCUGAGUUCACACCAGAGAGUUUAAGCACAAAGGAUUCUGUUAUAACUGGAUUCAGUUACAGAGACCCAAGCCUGGAAGUAUAUGUGAUCCAAGCCUUGGCCAGAAUUUAAAUGGACCCAAAUUCAAAUGGGCUGAAUUCAUCGUGAAUGAGCCUCCUCCUGACUUUAAGAGAUUAUUGCUGUAUAAGAGCUGAGCAUCUUGUGUGGCAUUCAAGAGGAGAUGAGUUAGUUUCAAGCAGCAGAGCUCUGCUGAGCUGACCUGGCUCUUCUAAAUCAGACUGUGCCAUGAAGGGAGCAAUCAGCUGCAGCAAAGGGAAGGACAGCAAGCAGAUGAGAGCUGGGGAAGGCUGGAAGAGGAAUCAGACAGGGGAUGAAUCUACAGACACAACAGCUAAGAGAGCCCUGGCUGCCAGACCUAGACUCUUCAAUCAACAGAUUAAAGAGACAAUUAGGUCCCAUAUUUUGACCAGCAGCUAUUCUAAAAUCUCAUUAUAAGGACAACCCUGGAGAGCACAUGGCAGCCUUCCAGUACCAACAUGCUUUACUAAAGGUAAAAGAACUUUAUCAAGUACUUGGGGCUUUUCUGAUCUAUUGAAUGAUUGCUUGCAAAUCCCUCGCUAUUUUCAUAGGGGUUUUUCAAGAGAGAGCUUUAAAAGAGUAAAACACAACAGUAGAAGACCUCUCUGUGGCAGGGCUCCCAGAAAGAAGAUCUUACACUUCUAUUCCCCAGUAGUCACUCUCAGCCCUGCUCUUGCCUAGAAAGUGCUGGAGACCUUUGCUCACAUCUCUGAGCACAAGGAAGUUCCAGCACCAUUGUAAAGGGUGGGAGCUGACAGCAGGCACCACCUCCAGAUAGGACUGUUUAUGCUGAGGCGGGAUAAAUGGAUGGAGAUCUCCAUGAAUUGUAGCCAGUGGAGUAAAGCUGGAAGUGUUGCCUUGCACAGAGAUAGCAGUGCAGGCAAGGAGCUCAGUGGGAGCUGUGCUGGAGCUGCACUCGGCUCCUUGCAGGGAAGUCUCCUGCUAUUAAUACCACAGCUAUCACAGCAGAUAACACGGUAAAAGGCAGCAGCCUGCAGGAAGGCUUAGGUUAGAGUAAACUGAGGAGCACUCUUUGGAUUACAGGGUGGGGUAAAGUCUGUAGGGCGUUCUCUUGUCUCUGCAAGCCGAACAGCCGCUGUUCAGCGGCACCAGGCUGCUGCUGGUGCUGCAGUGACACCGACAGGCUGCACUGCCCUGCCCUGGUGUAAAACAGCAAGAGCCAGGCUGCCUCAAAUCACAGCAACAAGAUAAAGGUCAGGAAAUGGGGAAAAAACCUUUUCGUUGGUCAGAGUGUGCUGAGAGAGAUCCUGAUCCCUCCAGGAAAGGCAGGUGUCCUGUGACCCACCAUGAAAGGCAGAUGAGCUCCCCAUGAGAAGACAGUGAUGGUAACUGGGACCAGAUCUAUCUGUCCCUGGCAGUGCUUAUGGUGGCAGAGGGAUGCUGUUUGUCUCAACCAAGCUUUGAACCCUCGGGAGAAGUGCAGCUCUUCUCUUCAUGCAGCAGUCUUUCCUGAUCUACUUUCAGUUCCUUCCUGCAAAGCUGCCCUGUGCAGCAGGCAAGUCAAGGAUGGAGAACUUCCUCCCCUGCUUGAGCCGUUUGGAAAUGGCUAAUUUACUACAAGGUAGGGAGAAAAAGGAAGGAUAGUGAAACACAGCCCAGCCUAGGCCUCGAGGCCAUCUCAGGUUCAGGAGGAAAGGAAAGGACAAAGAGCUCAGAGACCCCCCAGUCUGGCUUUUUGCAGGACCUCAACAUAUCAAAUUGAAAUGGGCCUCUUUUUGCCCCUGGCUGUUCCUACAGUUUAAAUGCUUUAACCUUUAAAGGUAGCAUUCAGGAACCAUGGUACUUAAGUGUUAAAGCUAACUUGGAGGGUAUUUUUGCAGAGGGGAAGGAGUUUUACAGGGGCUUUUACCUACCAGACUUACAUUUCAUUCCAGCACAGGUCAUGUGCAGUGCUGGCUCUGUAUAUAACCUGCUCAUGGUCCCUCAUCUCACCAGUUUUCUCAGUCUUCUCCCAUGGAGAUCAACAGAUUAAAAGCAGAGAAGAUUUGAGGCUUCUUUCCCAGUGGUGCUGAGUGCCUGCUGCUCCUCAUGGUCCUGACAGAAAGAGUGCUCAGCAGCAAUUCAUCUCUAUCUGUGCUGCUCUUUGCCUUGGUCUUGAAGAUUAUUUGAGACACUAGGCAAGAAAUGAAUAAAAGCCUUUCCCUAUCAAAACUCAUCAGAACUCUCCUCAAUUUUGUUGAUCACAGUAUCUCUAACCACAGAACCUGUUCAUUCUCAGAGCAGGCCCUGCAUAGCCUUUCUUCCUCUUAAACUUUCUUCUUCUCCUGCUAUUAAGAAGGCCCACAUCAGAUACGUCACUUUCUCUUUUCUCAUGUAGUUGCUCAUCCAGUCCUCUAAUUCCCAUUUUUGAUCUCCCUCUACUUCUCUCUCAUUUCAUCUCCACUAUUAUUUUCUGUUUAGUUUGUUUGCUCCUACGUGUAUAGACCUCAGAAAAGGUUCUCUUGACAUAAUCAGCCUUCUGUCUCUUCCUUGCUGUUGUUUUCUAAACCUUGUCUUUUUUCUAUAUUGAAUUGCUUUUCCAUUCCUCCCAUGUGGCUUGAAAUGUCUCCUUUCCACAAACACUAUCAGAGGUAGCAGUGGCCUUCAUAGCCAAGCCGAAAAGGGACCUUUUUCUUCUUACACUUGGAAAUCACAUCCUCCUGGACACAGGUGACACCCCAAUCAUCCAGUAGCAAGGAAGGAGUUUGUUUUCUGGAAAAUUCACCUGUUAGAGUCUGUUUGUUGAGCCCAUUGAGAGGACACAUUUUCUGUUACCUUGAAUUCUGGAGCUAUGGGAAAUAACAGAAGGGGAUUAUUUAAGCCCUCCCACACAGGCUCUGGGAUACAGAAUCCUCCUGUUUCCAUGCUGGCCAUCAGGACCAUAUCCUGUCAAGUGGCACAGUUUCAACAAGUUCAGGAGAGAGCUGCCAUUGUUACAGGAUUUUGGUUCCCAGACCAAGAACUGGAAGAGAGAUUUGUCUGGGAGGGAAUAGGGCACGGAGGAUUUUGUUUGUCACUUUUUCCCCUGCUUCUUUUUGGUGAAAGGCAACAGGGAAAAUGUCAAGAAACGAAUAUAGGAAAAUUAUUGAUCUGAAGAAUCUGUCCCUACCAGAAAAAACAUUUUUGCUACCAAGAGAAGUCAAAGUAAAAUUUUGAAAGGCACUUACCUGACUUUCCAGGAACACAAACUCCUAGAGAUCCUCUGGCUUUGUAAAAAUGUGUCUGAAGCUUCCAUAGCUCAUAAAUGAAACUUUGUUCUGGAUGAGGAUGAUUUCCCCUCCGAAGAAACAGCAGGCACCCACCCCACUGGCUUGUUCACCAUCCCUUGCUACAAGAUGGGAGAACACUAACAAGCAUAGAAUAUGCCUGAUCCAUCUCGGCCUUUCCCUCUCCUCAUUUUUUUGAUGCUGCGUGCUUCCAGUUGUGCCAGUCUGUAAGCUCUCAGCAGUAUUUUGUGUUUCCUUCAGUCUCUCUCUCCCUCUCUGUAAGAUUUCACCAGCCUAUUAGUGUUAGAAGUGAGUGUUUAUUAAGUCCAGAUAUCUAUUUAUCUAUUGCUCUAUCUUUAUGCAAUUCAUAUACACGUACAUCUGCUGAGGCAUGGUCCUGGGUAUAAUGUUCCAUUAGAGUGAAAUGUUUACAUAAAGGAAACUGAGGAGUUUAGCUAUUAUAAACCUGGACACUGUGAGUUUACUUACAAGAAUGUCACAUGCACCCCACGGCCAACCUUAAAUUGAGACCCUAUCACAUCUCUCCUUUCAUAUCUGUGCCUUUAUGUCUUCCACUUAUGACCCAUCACAGACAUACUGUGGAUUAGUUCAGAUGCAAUAAGAAUCUUAAUAUCAGUGAGUAGCAUCAUUAUUGGAAACACACUGUGUCUGUGCAGACUGAAUAUCAGACCAUUCCUUUUUGUCUGAGAGGAUACCUAUUCUCACAAACUCAGAAAAUUAUCAUACAGUCUGUUGCAUCCGUCUCUCCUUCAGAAAUAACUUUACAUACAAGCACUAUUUUUUUUUUCCUUAUUGAAUAAAAAGCUACAUGGCAAGCCCCUAGUCUUCAUCCAUGGAAGGUAAGCAAGGAUUUGAGAAGGAUUAGAGGAGUAGCAAGGGUUCUUAGAUGAACCAGAGGUACCUACCACAGUACCUACCACACAGAAAGUAAUUUGGAAAUACCUGCCUUUCCCUAUAAGCUGGAUUCUCUGCUCUGGGAAAACAUAGUUUAUUUUUAGAUCCAGUAAAUAACAAGAUGUUGGGUGACCACCAAAGACAGGCACUGCUCUGUUUCAAACCCUGCCAGCUAGCCAUACUCAUUUCCAGAGGAACUCCUGGCACAAUCACAAGCUGGUGUGAUUUAAACACAAGCAAUGCCUUCAGCUGAGAAGAGGGAAAUGCAGCCCUUUUCCCUGGUCGGCGCUGCCGAAGCCUGUGAUCGCAUGGUGGCUCUCGCUCCCGGCAGCAAUGCUCCUGCCUGCCCACUCCAGCUCCUCCUGCCUCACCCCCUGAAAGGCAGCAGAGCUCUAAUGACCUCCCAUGCACUUACGUCUAACAGAUACGUUUUUGAAAACAGUAUCAGACCUCAUACAUCUAUGACCACUUUAAAAGGCUUCUCACCACACCUUCUGCUCUCUGUUCUCUACACUCAAGUGGAAGAAUGGCACAAAACCCCCCCCUCUACCCACUCUUUUCACCCAGUUCCUCUCAACAGCAAGAAAAUCUUAGAAGAGCCAAAGAAAAGCUAAAGAAACAACUCUGGGUCCUGUCUGCUCAGGGAACAAUUUCCACAUCUGACUUUUGCUGCUGCUAGAGGGCUGGUUGCAGCUUUACUAUCAGUUCUGUCCCUCUGUAUCCUUUGCUUCCCCUGAAUCUGUGAAGAUUUUGUUUGUUGAGUCAAGGCAGUCAGUGGGAGAGUAUUUUCAUCACCAAUUCCCAAACACUGUCCUUCUUUCCAUUUGAUGCUCACCCACUCAUGAAAAGGGGAAACAAAUAAACAAAUAAACAAAAAAAAUCACAGGAUCAGUCUUGGUUCACUUCUUCUUUCUUUUUUUCUGCAUGGUUUUAUGGACUAUCUUUUAUUGAACAAUAUGGGCUGAGUCAUGUGAGGACAAAUUUGCAGGGAUGCAUUAGACACACCAUGUGUCACAAAAGGUGCAUGAUCAGAGGCUGAAGACAAACACGUGCAUCUCUGACACUUUACUGGGACUGUUCACAAUUGCACUGGUUAAUGUGCAUAGUCAAAAUUGAGCAAGAUCAUAAAGGCUCUUCACACUAAAUGAACAAAAGCUCUGGGGUAACGAGCCAUGAUAUCUCGCCUUAGUUGGCACACCCUUGUACCAUCUCUGUGACAGAGAACUGAGGUGAUGUGCUAUACCUCUGGACACAGAAAGCAAAGCCAAAAGGGCAACUCUGUCCCCAGAUAAGUUAGUAAUAAAGAGGAAAACUAGUUGGGAGGUUUUAAUAAUUGAUUCAGAAAAGCUAUAAUCUGAUAAAAAUACUGCUUGGAUAUAAAUCCAAUCUAUGAAUUCUUAAUUGAUAACAGUUUACUAGGGCAGUGCUUAUGUGGAGACGCUUUACACCAGGUCAGUUAUCACCUGUCUGUGCCUUUUUCUUGGUGCCAUGCCAGCAAAGUGUCUGCUGGGUGCUCUGUGGAAUUCAGUGGGAUCACAUCCGUGUGGCCAUGCCCAGAGUCUGGCAGUGCCUGAUGACACCUGAGUUACUGACCUUUACUUGCUCUAAUUGUGACUUCUUCAAAUAAAUAAUUCAAUAAGUUAUUUUGUGAAAGUAGACCAACAAGACAGCUACAAUCCAUUUACACUCAACUUGGGGAGCAAAACACAGCUUUCUCCACGAGCUCCUCUGCUUUGUUGCAAUCGCCUCCUUCCCAGCAGUCAUGUCCAGGGCUCUCUCAGUCCAGCACCCCCUGAACCCAAAUGGAUUCUUGGGAGAUGGUUUCUCUUCCCCAGAUGAAGACCUGAGGUAUCAGCUGCUUCUUAUUAACCUCAUUUCUUCCACUAAUUAUUGCCCUCACUUUUGCCUGCCUGUUGCUCCUUUUUAGACAUCUCUUCCCUAAUACCUCUUUGGUGACUAGAAGAGAACUGAAGCAGAGAAGACGAUUCAUACAAACUAAAUUGGGGGUUGAACUUUGUUCAGUUCUGCAUUUUUUUCUGAAACAGAGCAGGGGAAACUGCUGGCAGAGCCUCCUCAACCAGUCCAUCCCCUCACUGCCACCCAAACACUAACCCCAUUUUUCUGCAAGCCAUAAGAGUCACUGUAAAGGUGGUGAUUUUACUGUCAUUCUGAGCCCAAAGAAAGUCUCUGGCUUGGCUGCAUGCAAGGUGGCAAAUUUAAUUGUCUUCUCUUAACUGCUUCUUCACUAAAUCUGUGCUGUCUGCUAAUCUCCUGCAUCCCUGUAGAAAAGUCACGACUGAAGACUCAAGUUGUCAAAACAUCACUUGUCUUUUCCACCAACGCUGGUGGAAGCAUGGCUGUGCUGAGCCAGAGCAGAGUUGAGCAGGCUUUGAGAAAGUCCCUGUUUCCAAUUUAGCACAGCUCCUAGGAGGUAUUAUGUUUCCUGGUGCAGAGCAGAAAACGCUUUGAGAUCCUCAAACACAAAGCCUUGUUGUUUUAUUCAUUUGUACUGCUGAGCAAAUUCUCUUUUUGAGGCUUCCAGUGGGGAAAUUUCCUCCAGUUUCUCCAUAGCAGAGUCCAGAUUAAAGCUACCUUUACCUAUUUAAGGUCUAGAAAGCAUGAUUUCUUCAAAGACAGCCUUUAUAUCCUGUACUCCUAGAAGACCUUUUUAAUUGCAAGAAACACUCUCUUCCUAACUACAAAAGCAUUUGAGCUCAUCCUCUAUUCAGUUGUGUUGGCAGAGCCUCAGGAAGAGUUCUCCAACCUGAAACAUCCAAGGAAUCUGUUAGGAAACCCAUCACAGUUUCCAGAUAACACGCUGCCAGCUUUAUUAAAAGAGCAGUGCUCGACAGGCUUGCACUCACAUUGCAGUCAUUCUUGGCACUCCUGCAGCCUCCUCCAUCCAAGAAUUCUGCACCGCUCAUUCCACUGGCUGCCUCUUCCUACCAUCCUCACAACGAAGGUACCAAGCGCCUCCCAGGAUCACCUGGAGCACGUGAUUUUUACAGCACCUCACAAACUGCAUUUUCACAAAGAUUCUCCGAUGUCCUUCCCCAGGGAGCUGAGCUCAGCAGCAGCAGUCAGAGAGGCUCUGCAGCAGCAGCGUCUGCAGGGUGGCUUCUCAUGAGCCCUGGACAGCCUCUCUGAUGUCCCACAUGUUUAACACAGCUCUGUCCCCAAGCACUGGGCUACAGUUAACCAACGGAUCCCAAGGUUUUUCUUGAAUUUUCCCCAGAUUACAACCAGGGCAAGCUUGCUGCUGCUUCAAAACAAUGUUUUUCUGAUUACAACCUAGGCUGACAAUUAUAGUGAUUUAAACCCUAACUAAUUGUGAAGUACUUUGAUCAUGCUUAGCACAACUUGUGGUUUGUAGGCUGAAAAUAGUUGAAAGGAACUCUUGGGUUCACAAUUUCCUUGAAUAUAAAUUUUAUUUUGAUAUAUAAGGUAUGAUUUAAAUAUAAAAAUAAAACUUGUGUUUGUUUUCCCCCUCAUCCUGUUUCUUCUUUGAAUAUUAUUGCUGGUAUAAUUUUCCCUCCCUGAGCUUAAUA